CCCGCCUCCCGCCGCGGAGCUGCCGGCUGAAGCCCAGGCUUGUGCAGCCAGGGGUGCAGGAGGGAGGGUCGGGACAAACCCAGAAAGUCGGGGACACGACGCUGUGCCGCAUUGUGCCCACCCCUCGUCUCCCGACACCAAGGCUGCUCGAGCCCAGGGUGUUUUUUUCCUUUUCACUGCCACGUCCCAGUCCCUGGCCCAACAUGAUACUGACUAAAGCCCAGUACGAAGAGAUAGCCCAGUGCCUAGUGUCUGUGCCGCCUACCAGGCAGAGCCUGAGGAAGCUGAAGCAGAGGUUCCCCAGUCAAUCGCAGGCCACUCUGCUGAGCAUCUUCUCCCAGGAGUACCAGAAACAUAUUAAGAGAACACAUGCCAAACAUCAUACUUCGGAAGCGAUUGAAAGUUAUUACCAGAGGUAUCUGAAUGGAGUGGGGAAAAAUGGAGCUGCCCCAGUACUCCUGGAGCUAGCCAAUGAGGUGGACUAUGCACCCUCAUUAAUGGCUCGGAUUAUACUGGAAAGGUUUCUACAGGAGCACGAGGAAGCUCCACCCUCCAAGUCUGUUAUAAAUAGUAUGCUACGGGACCCUUCUCAGAUUCCAGAUGGAGUUCUAGCAAAUCAGGUCUAUCAGUGCAUCGUGAAUGACUGCUGUUAUGGACCACUGGUGGACUGCAUCAAACAUGCUAUUGGUCAUGAGCAUGAAGUUCUACUCAGGGACUUGCUUCUGGAGAAAAACCUAUCCUUCCUAGAUGAAGAUCAGCUCCGUGCAAAGGGUUAUGACAAAACACCAGACUUUAUUUUACAAGUACCCGUUGCUGUAGAAGGGCACAUAAUUCACUGGAUUGAAAGCAAAGCCUCAUUUGGUGAUGAAUGUAGCCACCACGCCUACCUGCAUGACCAGUUCUGGAGCUACUGGAAUAGGUUUGGGCCAGGCUUAGUCAUCUACUGGUACGGAUUUAUCCAGGAGCUGGACUGUAACCGGGAAAGGGGCAUCCUGCUCCAAGCCUGUUUCCCCACCAACAUCGUCACCUUAUGCCAUAGCACUGCUUGACCCUGAUGAUCCUGGAAGAGAAGCUGGGAGGAAAAGUUGGAGGAGUGUGGUGAGGGCACUAGCGUUCCCAGACUGGAAGCUGAAAUCCUCCUUCUCCCUCUUUUACACUUGCCCAGUGUCUGCUCUCACAAACAAACAGGAGACCCUAUUUGUUCAAAGCAUGCAGAGGCAUGAGCUCAGAACAAAGCUGAUCCAGUGCUGAUAUUUCAGAAAAUGAUCCCAGGACCAAAAUGCAGCUCAUUGGAGUCCUGAUCCAUAUAUUUUCAGAGUCCAAGUUGGGGGAGAACAAUUGACCUAAGCUCUCUGGCAAAAAGCACACCUAAGCAUCUUUGGCACCUGAAGAUGAUAAAACUUGUAACUAAGAUAUUACAGGGGCAAAUAUGGUGUGAGGUUUAGUGUGUCAGUAACUGUUUUGGCAAAAGGAGCUAAAAGAACAUGUGAGGUUUACAGAUACUUUCAGGCUGAAUGGUGGUGUUCAGCUGAUUAAAAUUACGAAUUUAAAUAGUAAAAUGUCUCUGAUUUAGUUAGAGAAUCACUCCUAGCUCGUUCAUGUUGGGGGCAGCUUGCCAUUUUCCAUGUGAUCUGCAAGUUGCCUCAAAAGUAUAACUAUAUUGUGAAUAGGACAGGAGGAGAAAAUCUCCCAAUUGGCACAUUCUCAAUUAGGGUCAAGGAACAAAGCCAGCUUAACUAGAGAGGAAAUAAAAGGCAAACAAUAGGAGUUUGCCGGCACAGUCACCACUUACAGAGAGGUGCCUCUCUGGACCUGCCUGGUAAGUCACUCUCAGGUUAAGGAAGCGUUGCAGUGACAAAAGUUCGGACCAUCUAAUUGUAUUAUUACCCCAAACUAACCUUCCUAUAUAUAGUAAAAACAGUCUGAAGAUGUUUUAUUAAGAACAUGCCUGGAUUCGAAAGAUUAAGGAAAAUGGAAUUAUGAAUUAAAUAAUAACCAGAACAGCUUGGGUUCCCCUUGUGUUUUUCACUUUCCUGCUAUUGUUUUGAAUGUGGCUGUGAGACAAAGAGCUGCUUAGGUCAAGGACUAUAAAUUACAGUUUUCAUACAAUAGUCACCCACUAAAAUGAUUUCAAAGCUUGAUCAAAGUACUUCAAAACGACUUUUAAAACUUUUCCACAAUGCAGGGGGAGGGGAAACGCUCAUUUGAUGCCUUAAUUUGCUUCAGUCAGUCUAGCAGAGUUCCAUCUUGGCGUCAUACCUACUUUAUAUAAAAUCCCACUCAUUAAAGAAACCCAAUUUGUUCUUAUUGUUGUCUCAUGUACACGUAAAGAGGAUUUAAGUUUCCAUCUGGUUAACUAGCACAACUAAACAUUCGGAGACAUUUGUAGUAAGGAAAAGAUGCACAUAAUCCUGCUUUAAAAUAAGCAUAACUUGACAAUAUUUAAUUGUGAUAUGCAAGGUAUUUAAGACUAACUCCCUGUCUUAGAAUAAAGUGGAUAUCAGUGGAUUUAGUUGUCAUCUUAAUAAUAGUCAUGAUAAUAGAUAGAUUUCGUUUUUCAUCUCUUUUCCCUCAACAUGCAUGUACCUGGAGCUGUCUCAUGUUAUAAGCAAGGAUGAUGGGAGGUACCCUAGCGGUAGAUAAGCUAAGCAGAUUCUAGGCCCAGCCAUACAUAAAGAUAGUGUGGGAUUGCUGCAACAAUGCUUCUAUGUCAGGUAAUUUUUAUUUUUUAAAAGGAAGGUCAUUUGGAAAUGCUGACAUGAGAUAUAACCAAGUCAAUUAAGUGAUAACAAUGGAAGUUCAGAGUUUGAGGCCUGAACAUGAAGCCACCAACCGUUAACCUAAAGCAGUCAUGAAUUCCCCUGGAAACAGCCUCCGUUAAAAGUAUUUCUAGAAUAGCUACUAGCACUUUU